AUACGGAGGAUGCGAGCGUUAUCCGGAUUUAUUGGGUUUAAAGGGUGCGUAGGCGGCCUUGUAAGUCAGCGGUGAAAUUUUGCAGCUUAACUGUAAAAGUGCCGUUGAUACUGUGAGGCUAGGAUUUGGUUGCUGUGGGUGGAAUGUGUGGUGUAGCGGUGAAAUGCUUAGAGAUCACACAGAAUAUCGAUUGCGAAGGCAGCUCACAAAGCCAAGAUUGACGCUGAGGCACGAAAGUGUGGGGAUCAAACAGGAUUAGAUACCCUGGUAGUCCACACUGUAAACGAUGAUAACUCGCUGUCGGCGAUAUACAGUCGGUGGCCAAGCGAAAGCGAUAAGUUAUCCACCUGGGGAGUACGGUCGCAAGAUUAAAACUCAAAUGAAUUGACGGGG
rnacentral:rRNA from 1 species